rnacentral:rRNA from 1 species
UACGUAGGCAGCAAGCGUUGUUCGGAAUUACUGGGCGUAAAGAGUGUGUAGGCGGUGCUCUAAGUCUGUUGUGAAAUCUCCCGGCUUAACUGGGAGGGUGCGGCGGAGACUGGAGUGCUAGAGUGUGGGAGAGGUAAGCGGAAUUCCUGGUGUAGCGGUGAAAUGCGUAGAUAUCAGGAGGAACACCGAUGGCGAAGGCAGGUCUCUGGGCUGACACUGACGCUCAUGCACGAAAGCGUGGGGAGCAAACAGG